CAGUCGCCGCGGUAAUACGGAGGGUGCAAGCGUUAAUCGGAAUUACUGGGCGUAAAGCAUGCGUAGGCGGUUCGUUAAGUCUGUUGUGAAAGCCCCGGGCUCAACCUGGGAAUGGCAGUGGAUACUGGCGAGCUAGAGUGUGUCAGAGGAUGGUGGAAUUCCCGGUGUAGCGGUGAAAUGCGCAGAGAUCGGGAGGAACAUCAGUGGCGAAGGCGGCCAUCUGGGACAACACUGGCGCUGAGGCACGAAAGCGUGGGGAGCAAACAGGAUUAGAUACCCGAGUAGUCCCUGUCUCUUAUAC
rnacentral:rRNA from 1 species